CCUACGGGUGGCAGCAGUGAGGAAUAUUGGUCAAUGGACGAGAGUCUGAACCAGCAAUGCCGCGUGAAGGAAGAAGGCUUUCGGGUUGUAAACUUCUUUGACAGGGGAAGAGCAGAAGACGGUACCCUGAAAACAAGCCACGGCUAACUACGUGCCAGCAGCCGCGGUAAUACGUAGGUGGCAAGCGUUGUCCGGAUUUACUGGGUGUAAAGGGCGUGUAGCCGGGAAGGCAAGUCAGAUGUGAAAUCUGGAGGCUCAACCUCCAAAUUGAAUUUGAAACUGUUUGUCUUGAGUACUGGAGAGGCAGACGGAAUUCCUUGUGUAGCGGUGAAAUGCGUAGAUAUAAGGAGGAACACCAGUGGCGAAGGCGGUCUGCUGGACAGAGACUGACGGUGAGGCGCGAAAGCGUGGGGAGCAAACAGGAUUAGAUACCCGUGUAGUC
rnacentral:rRNA from 1 species